UAGGCCAAGGCUUGUGUCACUUGGAACCGACGGCCUCUACUAACUAUGAUAAACUUAUGUAAUACUCGUUGCCUUCGUUUACAUCGUUUGUGCUUCUAUUUAACACGUUGAUGUAAUUUGCGUAUUCGAAAUUGAUAAAAAUGAAAUCUGUACCCGCCGUUGAUCUACCGAAUGGAAAGAAAAUGCCAAUAAUCGGGGUUGGAACUUUCCAGGCCAAGAGUGAGGAAAUCAAGAUGAUUGUAAAUACAGCGUUGGAAUGUGGAUACCGACAUAUUGACACUGCAUUUUUAUAUCAAAAUGAAUCGGCGAUUGGAGAGGUCUUAGAUGAGUGGCUUAGCAGUGGAAGAAUUACACGCGAGGAUUUAUUUGUGACAACUAAGUUGCCCAUGGUUGCAAAUCGAGCUGCUGAUGUUGGUAGAUUUCUUGACAAAUCCCUAACAAAUUUGCGGUUGUCGUAUGUUGACCUCUUUUUGAUUCAUCAUCCUGUUGGCAUGAAAGGUAAAAAUGACAGUGAUAUCUUUCCAAAAGAUGAACUUGGCAACAUGGUUUUUGACUUUGACACAGAUUUAGAAUCCCUUUAUAAGGCAAUGGAGAAUCAGGUUGACAGUGGCAAGGCAAAGUCUAUAGGACUUUCAAAUUUUGACUGCAAGCAGGUGGAAAGGAUUUUAAAAGUGUGCCGUAUCAUGCCAGCAAAUCAUCAGGUUGAAUUGCAUGCAUAUUAUCAGCAGAGAAAGAUGCGGGAAUUCUGCAAGGAGCAUGGUGUAUCAAUAUGUGCUUAUGCUCCAUUGGGCGCUCCUUAUAAGCCUCCAAGGGGUUUCAAGGAGGUUCCAGUCUUGCUAAAACAUCCCACUGUAACUUCAUUGGCUUCAGUCCAUAACAAGACACCAGCACAGAUAGUACUUCGGUUCCUCAUACAGUUGGGUAUCAUAGUUAUCCCAAAGUCAUCAAGGCCUGAGAGAAUACAGGAAAAUUUCCAGGUUUUUGAUUUUGAGUUAACUUCACUAGAAAUGGCUUCACUUGAAGAGCUUGAUCAAGGAGUCCAUGGCCGCCUUUUUGACUUCCAAGUCUUUCAAGGUAUUGAUAAGCAUCCAGAGUAUACAUUUGGCACUCAGUCAAGGUGAGCUGAAUACUACAUAUGCUAUGAAAGGACUGGAAAAAGGGUAGUGCCAGAGCAUUAAGCAAGAAAACCCAAUUUUGUUGCAUGUCUGUGCCAUUCAGUGUAUGCAAUGUGAUACACCAAGUACUGAACUGAAUAAUCCUAUCUUUGUAUAGGAAGUGGUCAAAUUUUACCAAGGAUUGUUAUAAUUCAAACUCUUAUAAGUCUUUGAACUCACUUAUCAAGAGGAUAACAUAAGUUAAUGGAUACAUGAAAGAAUUAAAAGGAACUGGUCCUACCCAAACUAAGUUGAAUACAAAAAAAUAAAUAUACAUACAUAAUCAAAGAACCACACGGUUUUCUUUGCGAAAGUGUCUCCAUGACCACCAAUCACAUCUCUGAUGGACGGGAAGCUACCCGACUUGCGGGCAUUGUGGAUACUUCUUUCUAAAUCAAGCUGGAAGGCCACAUAUCCUGUCGGGACUUCAACUUCAAUAACAGUGGCAGAGCUUUGAGGAGAUUCUUGUACAUUGAUCCACCUGUCAAGAAAAAACAUGAUCAAGUUGCAGUUGCAGCACAUCCUUCAAACAAUGGAAUUUCAACUACUCUACAAUCUAUGAUAUUCUCCCAUGCAAAUAAACUGGUAAUCUGAGGAAAUAUUGCAAAGAAACUCCAUUGAUCACCUUAUGGUUAUAAAUAUGACCUAAGUACACUGUACUACAAUAAAACACUACAUCUUAUGUUUUAUACAAGAAUUUUGACUAAAAGAAAAAAAAAAAAAAAAAAAGUCCUGUAAUUAAUUUUUAUAUCAAACAAAAUACAUUUCAAUGGCCCUGUAAAUUUUACUCUGUGUGGAUAAGGCAGAUUAUGCAGUAAUCACUUGCCCUAUUUACUAACAACAAAAAAAACUUAGAAACUUCAAUUGCAUUGCAGCUAUGAUAUCUUCCUACUUUUGAAUUCUAUUUUUUUUAUAUUGACAUUCCCAUUUAUAAU